UACGUAGGGGGCAAGCGUUGUCCGGAAUCAUUGGGCGUAAAGCGCGUGUAGGCGGUCGGGCAAGUCGGAUGUGAAAGCCCAGGGCUCAACCCUGGAAGUGCACUCGAUACUGCUCGGCUAGAGUCCCGGAGAGGAUGGUGGAACUCUCGGUGUAGAGGUGAAAUUCGUAGAUAUCGAGAAGAACACCGGUGGCGAAGGCGGCCAUCUGGACGGUGACUGACGCUGAGACGCGAAAGCGUGGGGAGCAAACAGG
rnacentral:rRNA from 1 species